UAGCUCAUUUGGUAGAGCAUGGUGGUUAUAAUGCCAGGGUAGUGGGUUAAAUUCCCAC
rfam:Salmo salar isolate Sally breed double haploid chromosome ssa24, whole genome shotgun sequence.